UGACUAUAGCUGCACAUUUACUAGUGGGUAGUUCACCUAAUGUAUCAACAGGCCCUGAUCUUCCUCUUUCUUGUCAGUGAAAAUCGAGCACUAUCCAUUUUGAGAUUGAACAGAGAAUGAACCAAAAGAGAAAUAAACCCUAGUUCUUUGUAUAAAGCACACAGAAAUCAAUAUAAUACUUUUUUUUUAAUCCAUGAAAAUGACAGCAGCAGUCAUUUUUGCACUACGAGUUCAAAACUGUCCAACAUCUUUCCUCACCCCGUUUUGAUUGACAGCAGCCUUCAUUAUACAGUUAUCUAUUGUGUAAAAUAUUCAAGUGGAUUUUUAUCGAGGUGUUUGUCAAUAACACCAAAUACUGCUGGAGAAAACACAUUUUUGUGCUAUUGGUCUUUUGAUUUUAAACCAUAUAGUUACUGAGACACAGCCCUGUGACAACUAGCCCCAACCAAUCUCCUAUAAAUCCCCCACACUUAAGAUAUUUGACAGAAUUGUUAUAAAAUCAAGCUCUUACCCGUUUCACCAACACCCAUGACCAGAAACAGCACUACAAACGAUCAGGGUGGAACCAGUUUUGAUGUUUUCACACUGAAUGACACGUGAUUAACACAUUAUAUUUUAAUUUGAGGUUGACACCUCAACUAUAGUUCUGACGGUAGAAGAAGAGUUUUAUCUGAUAACACCAGACUAAAGACAUAAAGGUUAAACUGAGAGAAACUUUACAUCAAUCCAUAAAGAUGCUUAUGUAAUAAUGUUUUCAAACUUGGGAAUAUCUAUAUUCAUUCAGUUUUAUACAGACAGUGAUGACGAGGAACCUGAUCUUGAGAGAGAGAAAAUAAUAGCUUGAAUGACUAUACUUUAAUUUGCAUAUACAGACCAUCUAUCCUGGAAUGGGAACUGAUGGAGGCGGGAUUGUAAAACACUGGAAGCUAUUGCAGUGACAGUGAUGUAAAAAACACAUUUCAUCACCAGCAUCACCAACUGUGCAUCUGAUAAACCUCCAAUUCACUGAUUGAUUAAUAGCAAUAGAAGUUAAACAAUGAACUUAAAACAUGCUGAUGAAGCAGAAUUGAUUCAUCUGAAUGUCUAAAAGUUAUUUUAUUUUGCGGCCUUGUUCUUGAAUGCAUCAUGUUUCUAAACAGGGUUACAAACAGUACUUGUUUUCCUCUUUUCUUUCACAGUAAGUGUGAAAACCAAACGCGUGAACCUUUGACAGCAGCAUCACAGUGUGAUCACGUGACCUUCAUAAGUGACGGAGAGACGCUGAGAGACGUCACACCAGGAGGAAGAGGAAAUCAGUCCUGUCAGAGUAAAGCUUGAGUCUUCGUGUCACUGAAGCUGCUUUUAGAUAUCCAUAGAAACAGUUUUGAGAGGUGCAUUGGCUGGACAAACCUAAAAUGAACACUUUAAUGUUAUUUGAGCAUCAGAAACAACAUUUAUGGAUUUUAUUGCUUUUUUAUUGCUUUGAAAUAUAUUAAAAUAUGAAUUUGGCCAGCAGUUUUUCAGUGUAUUCCCCCAUCCAAACAGAAAGGAUCGAUCUUGCAUGAGUGAAAAGGCUGCCUGAAAGUGUUGUAAAUAAACUGACUUUCCUUGUGUAAGCACACAGACGAGGUAAGCGAUACAAUCAACAGCAGGUUUAUUGAACAGAGAUGAAGACAACACAGCAGUGAUAACAGUCCAGGAGAUACAGUGGCAGCCGAGGAGCGUGGAGUGAAGGAGAACAGGAGCUGAGGAGAACUAGGACGGUUAACGGGAACAACAGGUAAGUAGAUCACAGGUAAGAGGGUUGUGGAGCUUGACAUAAGAGUAGACAAUGACGUUGUUGUAGUAGCUGAUGAGACCUGACAAGGUAGUGCAGGAGAAGAGGACAUUAAUAGUGAGAGCAGGGAAUGAUGUGCAGGUGCAGGGAAUCUGUGAAACGAGGAGUUGAUGAGCUGGUACUGGUGUGGAAACAGGAGGGAUGCUGGGAAAUGGAGCUCAGGGACGGUGAGGCAGACAGUGACUCUGACACCUUGAAAGGGACUUUGAUUAUGAUACCAGCAAAAGCUGAAGCUCCAGUGACUAAAGUCGACACUGAAAUGGAAGUUGCGACAGACUUCACUUACAUAUUGUGAUGCAUUUCAGCGUGAAAUGUAUGGAAUGAUAUUCCAGACUUUAUUCAAACUAAAUUGCAAAUUGCGCAUUAGAGUUUACAUUUUCGUUUACAUGAAUCCACAAUGACAGCCAAAUUUCAAAUGGAAAAGCAAAGUCCAUUUCCCAGUAUGUUUCCCACGUCUUAUGAGUUAUGACUCUGUCAUAUUUAAAUAUCAAUGUCAGUUACCAUGUCUGCUUUUUUUCAUUUUCUCAGCAUCACGUGUGAAGCCAGCCUAAACUCAAAUGGAAUCGCAAUUCCCAUAGCAUUUGCAUUCCUGAUGCCUUACCUGGAAACCUGUCAAUCCGUGUCAAGGGUGGAUUAUGCUAUGGGGCGUGUUUGUUUUGACAAGCGACGCCACUCACAGUCGACGGUAAAGAAGUGAUGCCCUGAACAGAUGCUGAAUUCUUUCAACAAUUGAGAAGCCAUAUAGGUUGUGGACUUGACCAACAGUAACAUCAAUAAUGUUGUCUUCGCCAACCUCAGUGAAGUAGCUAACCAGCUUUUUGUGAAGGACAGGACAACUAAAGGACCAGGACGUCCUUUGAUCGACAUACCACUAGAGAUGAUUGAGUGCUUGUCACGGGUGUUUUGGUUUUGUUCAUGUUUAUGUUUUCAUGUCUUUUAUUUUGUAGUUUGAUUUAUGUUGCUUGUUGUGUCAUGCUUCCCUUGAUCCUCAUGUUCUCCCUUAGUCCAUGUGUCAUGUUCUCAUUGGGUGUUUAUGGUCAUGUGGUAUUCAGUCAUGUUCUGUCAUUGGUUCUUUUGUUCCUUGUGUCACUUCCCCAUUGGUUGUCCCAGUCAUGUGUUCUAUUCAUGUUCUAGUCAUGUCUUGUAUUUAUAGCCACUGUCUUCCCCAUGCUCCUUUGUAAUGUAUUGUCAAUGUAACCUGCUGUCGGUGAGUCGUCAAGUCAAAGUCAAAGUCAAAGUCAAAGCCAAGCCAAGCCAAGCCAAGCCAAGCCACGUCUGUGUUUCUGUUCCUGUUCAUGUUUUGGAUUAUUCACAAUAAACUGCACUUGGGUUCUCACUACACUCGCCUCCAGUGGACUCUCUUACGCUACAGUACUACAGGAUAUGUGGUUAUUCACGUGUCCAGCUUAGAGUAUCUGAGCGAACCAUACGCAGAAGACAGGAACAGCAUGCAUUAAGGUAUUUAAUGUUAAUGAAUGUGUAUUAGUGAGAAAGAAAAUAAACAGUGGGAAAAAGUGGAAUGUAUAUGGCUCUGGACAAAUAACGCAUAUAAAUACAUACAAUGUAAAAAAUAUCCACAAUAUAAAACAUACAGUGAUAUUGCCAUAUCGACUUCUUGUAUAAAAUGUUUAUAUAUAUAUAUAUAUAUAUAUAUAUAUAUAUAUAUAUAUAUAUAUAUAUAAAGAGAACUUUUAAUUUUACCCGAGUAAGACGAUAACUGGACGAGCCCAGUUACCAAGUUGUGAUUUAUAGAAAGUAAACAUUUCUCUUUCUCUUUCCUGUGUACUGCUGCAUAGGUUCAGUCCUGCAGAUAGACUUUCAGCCCUUUCCAAAAGUCCCCUUCUGUAUUGAAGUGCUGCCUGAAACAAGUUUAGCUUUAACUUUCCACUCUGAGAAGAAAGGAAAACAAAAAAAUAAUAAUAAUACAAUUUAAUAAAAACCUGGAAGUCACUAUUCACAAGACUUUUGACAUGGUCAUAUUUUGAGAGUUUUUCUAGCUCUGAUAUAGAGAAAAGAACCUUAUUGUUGUAGACUAAAUUCAACUAAAUGUCAACUAAAUUACCUUCAUUGUCACUGUCCCUCACUUCUCUACUUUGAUAAAUUUCCUGUCUGCUGCUUCUAGGUAUUUCUUUGCUUCUGUCUCUAGUGUCUCAAAGUCAACACUCAGAGACUGUGUUCCAAAUCACACCCUAUACCCUCAUUGACUAUCUCCUAUGUUAGUUCACUAAUACAGUCCACUGGACAGAGAGAAUGAAAAGAAGUGAGUGAAUUCAGACACUGAUGAACACCUGAUAAGCAGAAUCACUGAAGGACAGAGAAAGAAGAACAGAAAAGUGAAGAAACGAGCAGAAACACAAGAACUACAACUGACUUCCAGCCACACU